UUAAACGUCCAUACCACGUUGAAUACACCGGUUCUCGUCCGAUCACCGAAUUUAGACAACGUCGGGCGCGGUUAGUACUUGGAUGGGCGACCGCCUGGGAACACCGCGUGCCGUUGUUU
rnacentral:rRNA from 1 species